rnacentral:rRNA from 1 species
UACGUAGGGUGCGAGCGUUAAUCGGAAUUACUGGGCGUAAAGCGCACGUAGGCGCUUUGUAAGUUAGAGGUGAAAGCCUGGAGCUCAACUCCAGAAUUGCCUUUAAGACUGCAUCGCUCGAAUCCAGGAGAGGUGAGUGGAAUUCCGAGUGUAGAGGUGAAAUUCGUAGAUAUUCGGAAGAACACCAGUGGCGAAGGCGGCUCACUGGACUGGUAUUGACGCUGAGGUGCGAAAGCGUGGGGAGCAAACAGG